rnacentral:rRNA from 1 species
UACGUAGGCGGCCUGGAAGGUGAGAUGUGAAAGCCCACGGCUCAACCGUGGAACUGCGUUUCAAACCACCAGGCUUGAGGAAGAUAGGGGUGAUGGGAACUUAUGGUGGAGCGGUGAAAUGCGUUGAUAUCAUAGGGAACACCGGUGGCGAAGGCGCAUCACUGGAUCUUUUCUGACGCUGAGGAACGAAAGCUAGGGUAGCGAACAGGAUUAGAUACCCUGGUAGUCC